rnacentral:misc_RNA from 1 species
GAAAUGCGAUACGUAAUGUGAAUUGCAGGAUUCAGUGAAUCAUCAAACUCUUGAACGCAAGUUGCGCUUCGUCACCUCCGGGUGGCGGAGCACGCCUGUUUCAGUGUCUUUAAAACCCCAUCAAAAAGAACUGCUUUUUUGCGGCUCUCUUUGGCGUGCUGGUGGUUGCGGGGCACCGGGGUCACUCCCGCGCCGCGCAUCCGCUGAAAUGCAGAGAAAGGUCGAGUGCCGCGCUUCCCAAAGGAGAGGAGAAAUCCUCCUUUUUUGGGGAACGGCAUGACGAAGUAGCACACUUCCAGUGUGAAGACUCCGCUCAGGCCGUAGCGACGCUGCCGCCCUUCCGCACAUGGAAGAGGAGCCUAAAAAACCCCUCUUAACCCCCCUCAACCUUGGACCUGAA